rnacentral:misc_RNA from 1 species
UCUCCGUAGGUGAACCUGCGGAGGGAUCAUUACAGAGUUCAUGCCCUAACGGGUAGAUCUCCCACCCUAUGUUAUCAUCACUUUGUUGCUUUGGCGGGCCGUCAGGCCUCGGCUUGGCUACCGGCUCUCGCUGGUAAGCGCCCGCCAGAGAACCCCAAACCCUGAAUAUCAGUGUCGUCUGAGUACUAUAUAAUAGUUAAAACUUUCAACAACGGAUCUCUUGGCUCUG